rnacentral:rRNA from 1 species
AAUUUAUGUCUUACUUAUUCUUUUUUUUAUUUUGUGAGAAGUAUCUUUUUGUUUAGUAUGUUAAUGAAUAAUUUUUUUUGUUAUAGUGAAUUAGUACUGUUAAGGAAUUGAUGAAAUAGGUUAAAAAUUAUUUUUUUGUAAGUAUAUUUUAUUUAUAGUACCUUUUGUAUCAGGGUUAAUCAAAUUUAUUAAUUUAUAUUUAAUUCUCGAUUUUAGAUGAGCUAUUUUAUUAUUUUAGUUAAUGUUUCAUAAUUAUUAGUAAUAAAUUUUAGUGGAGAAAUUUUAUUCGGUUCUAAGGGUAUCUAGUUUUUUAAGAAAUAAAUUUAAUUUAGUCUUCUUAUUUAAUUAUUAAAUUUUAUUAUACUAUUAUAUGAGAAGGUAAAUUUUAUAGGGGAUAAGCUCUAUUUUUUUCUAUAAUGAUUGUUAUUAAUUUAUUGGAGUAGGUUUAAAAUUAUCCAUCUUUGAUAAGUGUGUUAUAAUUUAUUUUUUUUUAUUAAUUAAUUUAAUUGGUUUUUAGUUAUCUAUUAAAAUGUUAUAAUUAAUUUUUUAUUGUAAGCAAUAAUGAUUAAAUUAGUAUAGAAAUGUGUUUAUAUUACUGUUAAGUAAAUAAUAAGAUAAGGAACUCGGCAAAUAUAGUUCUCGCCUGUUUAACAAAAACAUGUCCUUUUGAUUUAAUAGAAGGUCUGACCUGCCCAGUGAUGAAGUUUAACGGCCGCGGUAUACUGACCGUGCAAAGGUAGCAUAAUCAUUAGUCUUUUAAUAGAGGGCUGGAAUGAAAGGUUUGACGAGGAACUGACUGUCUCAUUUUAUUUGGUUUAGAAUUUAAUUUUUUAGUCAAAAAGCUAAAAUAUUAUUGGAAGACGAGAAGACCCUAUAGAUCUUUAUAUAAAUUACUUAAUUAUUCUUUAUAUUAAUAUUUUAUGUCAAUUUUAUWUUUMGUUGGGGUGACAAGAAUAUAUAAAUAACUUUUUUAUUUAUUAAACAUUGAUUUAUGAAUAACAGAUCCAUUAUUAGUGAUUUUUAGAUUAAGUUACCUUAGGGAUAACAGCGUAAUCCUCCUCCASAGUUCAUAUUUACAGGAUGGGCUUGCGACCUCGAUGUUGGAUUAAGAUAAUAGCUGGGUGUAGCCGCUCAGUUCAUAGGGUCUGUUCGACCUUUAAAUUCUUACAU